GACCACAGAGAGCAUCCAGCCCAUGAGGGCCCCUUCCCCCUUCUCCCACCUCCAGCGUCCCCAGAGGAGAUUGCACAACCUGUUGGCCCACACAGACGAACAAGCAGGGUGAGCCCGGCCAACCACAUUUCUGAAGUCAGGAGCCCUGGACUUCAAGGUGUACCGUCUGGUGACUCUGUCUUCCUACAGAAGCCCCAGGACUUGAUGGGGUGUGUUUAAACUCUCCCCAUCCCUGACGCCUCCCCUCUUCCCACCUCAAACUCAAGGCGGUUGCUCCCAGCUUUCUGAGCACCUGGCCUGCCUGCCCGAGCACACCUGAAGACCCUGGUCCUGGCAGCCCUGUCCAUUGCUAGCUGCUAGGGCGGCCACUGCCCACAGUUCCUUGCUGCCUGGGUUUGUAGGGCUGGUGGCUAAGCCACUGGAGGGAGGGUCUGUUUUCCUCUCUGCGUCCACCUGGGCCUAGUUCUGCAGGUAGGACUGGCUAGUCCAGAGGAGAGAUUUAUGGUGUAAUGAAAAAGUUGAAGCCUGAUUCUGCACCUCUGUCCUGGUCAUGUUUGACGGGCAGGACUCUAGAUAUGCCCCCACCCCUGCCAAGCCAAGAUUCCUGUUCCCUGAUUUUCAAUCAUAUGCUGAACUGGGUCCUAAUGUGAGGGGAUUUUGAAGAGAUAACUCAAGUCCCUGGGUAAUCCCCCAGGUGGCCUGGCCUGAAUAAGGGAACCCUUUAUAGAGUUUUCUCUGGCUGGAAGCAGAGAGGGGGGACUCCGUGAGAUUUGUUGAGUCGAGGGAGGGGGCUCUGUAUGAAGGCGGCAAGAGGUGGUGACAGGGGAGAUCACCUGGGGCCUACAGUCAGUGA
rnacentral:lncRNA from 1 species